GUCGCGUUGUUCGUGAAAACCUGAGGCUUAACCUCGGGCGUGCGGGCGAUACGGGCAGACUGGAGUACUGCAGGGGAGACUGGAAUUCCUGGUGUAGCGGUGGAAUGCGCAGAUAUCAGGAGGAACACCGGUGGCGAAGGCGGGUCUCUGGGCAGUAACUGACGCUGAGGAGCGAAAGCGUGGGGAGCGAACAG
rnacentral:rRNA from 1 species